UUGCAUCAUUCGGCAUCACAAGAAAAGGUGAGGUAGUGCUGGAGAAGCAGGAAGAGCAAAAGUUACACAUGAGUAUCAAUACUAAGGAUGGCCGCUCAAGGCAGGGUUUUGGUCUUGGUCAGUCGUAUGAUGGUAGGGUGGUUCGUUUCUUUCCCGGCCAUUGCAUCGUAUUCUUGUGGUCGGAUCCGAUCAGAUCGGAUUCAACCGGAUCCCUUACUUAUAGCACAAUAGCCCACAAAUUUACCCUUUUUUUUAUUGCUAGCACUAUCAGGGUAGUUCGCUUUCAUGGUGAUGCAGCCAUGGGUAAACACCUUUGAGAAGGAUGGAGGAGUAAUUUUCUUUCUUUAAUUAUUGGAGGCAAUCAAAGAUAGAAGAGCAGUGAAUUGGUUCUGGCUGCCCUCCUUACCACUCAAAUCGGCUAGACUUGUUUGCAGUUGGCUGCUCUUUGCCAGUGAUGCCAACCUGACUGAGCUUGCCCAAUGUUUGCCGUUUGGGUGGUCAAAAUGCCAACCAACUAAUGGAUCCAGAUUCUAUGCAAUCAUUAUGUGAUCGUAAGAUAUCUCUGAACUUUCUCUCCCGCAAAUGUCCAAAAUCCAAGGAAGCAUUGUAUCAAUUCAAAUAGAUCAACACCAUCAAUUCUUUCAUCUGCAUGCUGUUACUCCCAAAUGAAUCCACAUGUUUUCAUACUGGUAUUUGUCAACUGUUCAAGUUCCUGAACUGCUUGGUUCACGCCAUGAACAAUCAUUUUCUUUACCUGUUCCAGAAAUGAAUCUGCAGUCAGACAGCACUAGGUGUUCCCAUUUUAACACAAUUACCCAAAAAAUGAUCCAUAAUCAAAUAAAUGAAAGACAGGCUGCUACCUCUAGCUUGUCUUCUCUGGCCUUGUGGUUCUUUGGAAGUCUCCUAAACUCCUCAGUCAAUCGAAGGCAUUCAUGUAAAUUUUCCGGAGAAACGAAGUCUGCAGCAACUUUUGUACAAGACUGAAAGUGCCAAAGGAAAGUUCUGAGUUGAAUGAAUGCAUCAAAAGAAUGAGCUAGAGGGGAAGAUAUUUUACCUUCAGAUUCCGAACCUGAUGUGGGCAACCUGCUGGAAUAAAAACCGCCUCUCCAAUUCUCUGCUCAAAUGUCCAGGGCUCUAUACCUAAAAUGAUUCAGAUCAUUUAGUAAAAUGAAAUAAAAUGAUUCAGACAGGAAUAACAAGUAAAUUUAAUGUUUUGUUUAGUAUUUCUUUAUUUUCCUGUGGUGUGGAGUAAAAAGAGAUGCUAAUGCAAUGGCGGAUGCUAACCAUAUUCUUCCUUUAGCUUC